rnacentral:rRNA from 1 species
UGGUGGGUAGUUUGACUGGGGCGGUCUCCUCCCAAAGAGUAACGGAGGAGCACGAAGGUGGGCUAAUCACGGUUGGACAUCGUGAGGUUAGUGCAAUGGCAUAAGCCCGCUUGACUGCGAGAAUGACAAUUCGAGCAGGUGCGAAAGCAGGUCAUAGUGAUCCGGUGGUUCUGAAUGGAAGGGCCAUCGCUCAACGGAUAAAAGGUACUCCGGGGAUAACAGGCUGAUACCGCCCAAGAGUUCAUAUCGACGGCGGUGUUUGGCACCUCGAUGUCGGCUCAUCACAUCCUGGGGCUGAAGUCGGUCCCAAGGGUAUGGCUGUUCGCCAUUUAAAGUGGUACGCGAGCUGGGUUUAGAACGUCGUGAGACAGUUCGGUCCCUAUCUGCCGUGGGCGUUGGAAGAUUGAAGGGGGCUGCUCCUAGUACGAGAGGACCGGAGUGGACGAACCUCUGGUGUUCGGGUUGUGUCGCCAGACGCAUUGCCCGGUAGCUAAGUUCGGAAUCGAUAACCGCUGAAAG